rnacentral:rRNA from 1 species
GAUGAACGCUAGCUACAGGCUUAACACAUGCAAGUCGAGGGGUAGCAGGGUAGCAAUACCGCUGACGACCGGCGCACGGGUGAGUAACACGUAUCCAACCUUCCCAUAACUCGGGGCUAGCCUUUUGAAAGAAAGAUUAAUACCUUAUAGUACCUUUUCAAGGCAUGUUGAGGAAGUGAAAGCUUUAUUGGUUAUGGGUGGGGAUGCGUUCCAUUAGAUAGUUGGUGAGGUAACGGUUCACCAAGUCUUUGAUGGAAAGGGGUUCAGAGAUGGAGGUCCCCCACAUUGGUACUGAGACACGGACCAAACUCCUACGGGAGGCAGCAGUGAGGAAUCUUGGUCAAUGCGCGAGAGCUUGAACCAGCCAAGUAGCGUGAAGGAUGAAGGUCCUAUGGAUUGUAAACUUCUUUUAUAGUAGAAUAAAGUGAUCCACGUGUGGAUUUUUGUAUGUAUACUAUGAAUAAGGAUCGGCUAACUCCGCGCCAGCAGCCGCAGUAA